rnacentral:rRNA from 1 species
UACGUAGGCAGCAAGCGUUGUUCGGAGUUACUGGGCGUAAAGGGUGCGUAGGUGGUCUAUUAAGUCAGUGCUGAAAUAUCCCGGCUUAACCGGGAGGGUGGCAUUGAUACUGAUGGACUUGAGUAAAGUUGAGGUGGGCGGAAUUGACGGUGUAGCGGUGAAAUGCUUAGAUAUCGUCAAGAACACCUAUUGCGAAGGCAGCUCACUAAGCUUUAACUGACACUGAGGCACGAAAAGUGUGGGGGAUCAAAACAGG